CCAUAACCCAAUGAGGUGACCUGUAAGGCAAUGGGGUGAGGCAUAACCCAAUGGGGUGAGCCGUAAGGCAAUGGGGUGAGCCGUAAGGCAAUGGGGUGACCCGUAAGAAAAUGGGGUGAGCCAUAAGGCAAUGGGGUGAGGCAUAACCCAAUGGGGUGAGCCGUAAGGCAAUGGGGUGAGGCAUAACCCAAUGGGGUGAGCCAUAAGGCAAUGGGGUGAGGCAUAACCCAAUGGGGUGAGCCAUAACCCAAUGGGGUGAGCCGUAAGGCAAUGGGGUGAAUCGUAACCCAAUGGGGUGAACCAUAACCCAUUGGGGUGACCCAUAGUAAGGAAAUGGGAUGAACCGUAAGGCAAUGGGGUGAACCAUAAGGCAAUGCGGUGACCCAUAACCCAAUGGGGUGACCCAUAACCAAUAGGGUGACUCAUAACCCAACGGGGUGACCCAUAACUCAAUGAGAUGACGCUAACCCAUAACCCAAUGGGGUGACCCAUAACCAAUGGGGUGACGCUGACCCAUAACACCAUAUAGAAACCCCAUAGGGACCCACAGGGACCUAUAGAGCCCCCCUGAGGACCCAUAGGGACCUACAGAAUCACCACAGGGACCCAUAGGGACCCAUAGAGACCCAUAGAGACCCAUAGGGACCCAUAGAGACCCAUAGGGACCCAUAGGGACCCAUAGAG
ensembl:lncRNA